rnacentral:rRNA from 1 species
AUUGAACGCUGGCGGCAGGCCUAACACAUGCAAGUCGAACGAGUGGCGGACGGGUGAGUAAUGUCUGGGAAACUGCCCGAUGGAGGGGGAUAACUACUGGAAAAGGUAGCUAAUACCGCAUACCAUCGGAUGUGCCCAGAUGGGAUUAGCUAGUGGGUGGGGUAACGGCUCACCUAGGCGACGCUCCCGAGCUGGUCUGAGAGGAUGACCGGCCACACUGGGACUGAGACACGGCCCAGACUCCUACGGGAGGCAGCAGUGGGGAAUAUUGCACAAUGGGCGCAAGUCUGAUGCAGCCACGCCGCGUGUAUGAAGAAGGCCUUCGGGUUGUAAAGUACUUUCGGCGGGGAGGCGUUACUCGCAGAAGAAGCCCCGGCUAACUCCGUGCCAGCAGCCGCGGUAAUAC